GACGAACGCUGGCGGCGUGCUUAACACAUGCCAGUCGAACGAAGAGCGACGGAAGCUUGCUUCUAUCAAUCUUAGUGGCGAACGGGUGAGUAACGCGUAAUCAACCUGCCCUUCAGAGGGGGACAACAGUUGGAAACGACUGCUCAUACCGCAUACGAUCUAACCUCGGCAUCGAGGAUAGAUGAAAGGUGGCCUCUACAUGUAAGCUAUCACUGAAGGAGGGGAUUGCGUCUGAUUAGCUAGUUGGCGGGGUAACGGCCCACCAAGGCGAUGAUCAGUAGCCGGUCUGCGAGGAUGAGCGGCCACACUGGGACUGAGACACGGCCCAGACUCCUACGGGAGGCAGCAGUGGGGAAUCUUCCGCAAUGGACGAAAGUCUGACGGAGAAACGCCGCGUGAGUGAUGACGGCCUUCGGGUUGUAAAGCUCUGUUAAUCGGGACGAAAGGCCUUCUUGCGAAUAGUGAGAAGGAUUGACGGUACCGGAAUAGAAAGCCACGGCUAACUACGUG
rnacentral:rRNA from 1 species